GGCAAAGAUAUGGAGCGUUCAUUAGCAGCAAUCAUGCAGUCGAGCGGACAGAAGGGAGCUUGCUCCCGGAUGUUAGCGGCGGACGGGUGAGUAACACGUGGCUAACCUGCCUGUAAGACUGGGAUAACUCCGGGAAACCGGAGCUAAUACCGGAUAGUUCCUUGAACCGCAUGGUUCAGGGAUGAACGACGGUUUCGGCUGACACUUUAGGAAUGGACCCGAAAACACAUAAAA
rnacentral:rRNA from 1 species